rnacentral:piRNA from 1 species
UGCCAAUGCUGAGACUUGAGUAAGUGGU